GGGGAAAUGGCGCAGUGGUAGCGCGUCGAGUUUGCAACACCUUGUCUUCAGGCACACCUGUAUAAACUCUCGAAGGACCAGGGUUCAAUCCCCUGUUUCUCCA